rnacentral:lncRNA from 1 species
AGCACCUCUCCCUUCACUCUCUUUCUCCUGUUUGGCCGUGUACCAAGUUCCUGCCUGUCUUCUGUCUUCACCCGUGACUUGCCUCAAGUAGUUGGCUCCUUUCCCACCGGCUACUUUGUAACUGCGAAUAUGACAACAUGACGGUGAUUCACAGAUGCCAAAAUAUGACGAGCAGAGCAAAUCUGUGUUCCAGAUAUGAUAAGGGUGACAUGAAGGAAGAAAAAGAACCUAUUAUCAUGUAAAAACCAUACUAUGGAAAGCGAUUUCAUAAAAAGUGGAAUUCUGUAAUAUAAUGC